rnacentral:rRNA from 1 species
CCUACGGGAGGCAGCAGUGAGGAAUAUUGGUCAAUGGGCGCAAGCCUGAACCAGCCAAGUCGCGUGAAGGAUGACUGCCCUACGGGUUGUAAACUUCUUUUAUAAGGGAAUAAAGUAAGGCACGUGUACCAUUAUGUAUGUACUUUAUGAAUAAGGAUCGGCUAACUCCGUGCCAGCAGCCGCGGUAAUACGGAGGAUCCGAGCGUUAUCCGGAUUUAUUGGGUUUAAAGGGAGCGUAGAUGGGUUGUUAAGUCAGUUGUGAAAGUUUGCGGCUCAACCGUAAAAUUGCAAUUGAUACUGGCAGCCUUGAGUACAGUUGAGGUAGGCGGAAUUCGUGGUGUAGCGGUGAAAUGCUUAGAUAUCACGAAGAACUCCGAUUGCGAAGGCAGCUUACUAAACUGCCACUGACAUUGAUGCUCGAAAGUGUGGGUAUCAAACAGGAUUAGAUACCCGUGUAGUC